CUUCUGUGGGCGGGCAGACAGGCUUGUGUCUCUUUGAUUUCGAAAUUACUCAGUAGUGACUUCCACUUCCCAACCAUACUUCCAAGCAAUACAGGGAUAAGGAAACCGGGGCACCAAAUCUUUACUCUCCUCAUUCCUCGGUAGUCAGCACACAGGUCUCUAAGGGUUUUAAAAUUUGGGACUCAUCUUUUCUUUUCUCAUUUCUUAUCCAUGUCUUAACCAUACUUUGGAUUCCCAGGGGGCAUCAGUGGAAUUGCUACAUCUUGAAUAGCGUUGAAAGAUUAGCAUCAGCGGUUCUCCGAUUCCUUGGCUUUCAGAUAUGCUUUCAGGACAUGUAGGAAGAGAAUUGAUUGGACGAGGACUUAUUGUCUUAGUAUUUCAGAAUAGUAUGGCAAAGGUUGCUACGGCUGGUCCUUUAUCUUCUGACUCUUCGUUUUGGUGGGGUUCUGGGAAGGUGGGGCAGGAGUUAAAAGGAAGACACCAUCUGAAUUGAGAGGAGAGCAGUUAAAGCAAAGGAACGUUAUAGAGCUUGUAGAUGAAUCUCUGGCUCCUUUGCUUGGUUCUACAAAGAACACAAUUGAGCUCAAGAAACAAGAUGCAUUGAAGUUCCAAGAUGCAUUGACACCCGUAUGG